rnacentral:lncRNA from 1 species
CCUAGUAUAGGAAACAUAGUGGCAACAUACGAUAUCCAAAUAGCUAACCCCCCUAAGUGUAUAGAAUUACGUAAUUUUACAUUCGGUACUCUAUAGUCAAUUGGAGUCAUUUGUGUGAUUUAAGCUCUCAAGUAAUGUAUUAACGUUCCAUAGCUCCUUAUAUUGUAGCUACUGCCCUAAAGUAUUAUUUUCAUGUCUUCUACUACUGUUCCGUAUUUCCAAAUCUCAAAAAUGAUUAUGACCACCAAAACAACAAUCUCAAAGAUUACAGAAUCUAAGUGAAGCAAUUUGUAUAAGCAUGGGUGGCAGCUCAGGGGCGAAAGCCUAGCAUGGGCCGAUCC